GCCGCCCGCCGUCAGCCCGAGGGGACGGACGCGAGCCCCUCCGACAGCGGCUGCGGGCCCAGCUGGCCCGCGUUGGCCCCCGCCUCCCGAGCCAGCCGCCUCUCCCAGAGCUCCGGACCUGCAGGCUCUGGAGGAGUUACUGGGGUGUCACAUCGCCUGCCUAGAGGGCUGUCGGAACUUGAACACACCUCCAACCUUAGGUGUCAGGACCCUGCGCCCCGCUUGCUUUCCGGCCGGCACCCCCAUCCCUCGGUGCACGCACGCGGUGGUGGCGGCGGCCGCCAGAAGUCCCUGAGUGGCUUUUUAAUGACACAGACAGGCAAGAACCAGGCGCUGCCCUGAAUUCCGGCCUUGGCAGUGGCUGAGGAAAGUCGCAAGGAGAGGGCAGAGAGGACCUGGCAGUCAAGAAAUACUCUCAACUCCCACCAAGGUCCCUACUCUGGGGAUGGUAGAGACAAACCCAUCCUGGUGUCCUGUGCUUAGGAAGGUGUGAGUGAGAUUGGGCUGGAGGCUGAGACAGCCUCUGAGAGCCCCAGGGCGCCCGCUCUGCAGCAGCUGCUUAGUCGCAAAGAAGCCUGAGAGCAGCCAGGGCCUGCGGGUUCCACACUGAAGUCACAGUACAUGUGGGGUGUGUCUGUUUUUUCCUCAGACUCCCUAGUAAUUCUAGUCCUGCCAAAGACUGGGACCUAAGCUACCUAAGCAUUGCCAAGGGUUAGCUCUUUUCCUCAGCUUUAGAACAUGUAUUUAUUUUUAAAAUUCAGUUUUAAGGUAAAGAGAAAGGGAUGAAGUGAGAACCCGCCAGGCCCUAGUCCCUGACCGAGUCCUGGCCCCUUCUGGAGCUCAGGGCUCAGAUGUUUGCUAGAUGCCCCCCCCCCCCCGCAACUCCCACUCAGCGCAGAGCCUCUGACACUGCCUCCGCUUCCUUAGGGAAGGAAAUUCUAAUGUCCUGGGGGGUGGGAUGUCUUGCAGGGGAUGGAGGAGAGAGGAUGGGUUCAGGUUCUUACAUUAUCCUCAGACCUGUGAUCCACUGAACUCUCCUGACAGUUUCCCAAAGCUGGGGUGGCAGCCCCCAAGCUGCUAUCCAAGAAGUUCCUUUGGGAUAUGGAAAGAAAAUAGGAGAAAUCCUAAUUCUAUUCCUUUUUGUCUCAUCAUAAACUGUAUAUGUCUAUGGCAUAGGAAUGUCUCUGUAUCGUAGCCUGGUAUAUAGUUUAUAAGUAGAUGGAUGUGUCUGUUUUGCAAGCGCACAUUCUGCCUUUCACAGAAGAGGGUGUGUGCUCAGAGAAGUUUGGAGGGAUUGUCCAGACCAGCCCUUCCCUCUCUGGUCCCCUUGUCUUUCUGUCUUCAUCUAAUAGUCUUCCCCUUCAUUCACCCCUUCGUUUCUUUCUUUCCUGAUGCCUCCACUGUGACACCAUUGUCUGCUGCCACUGAACUUGCAGGUUCUGGGAGAUGCCACUUACUCUCAUGUCAGCAGCCUGGGACAAGUCUUCUGCCCGAGGGCCCACCCUUCCCUGAUCACCUGCACAUUCAGAUGCCCCCAGCUCCUGUUUGAACUGUUCCCUGAUGCCUGCACCUCCCACAUUGCUCCCGAGUCACUCUGUUGCACUCAUUUGUUUAACUUUACAGAGAUUUAUCUGGACUCUCCUUGAGAACAAGGCCCAAUCUCAUCAACUCUACAUUCAGAAUACUUGCUUGGUGUCACACAUGCACCUUGACCCUGCCACUGAGGGGAGAACCUGGGCCCAGUGAGCUUAAUCGGUCCUCACAAGGUCGGGCUGCUGAUCCCACUAAGAAGCUUGAGCCUCCUAAUCUAUCCCAGCAGAACCUCAGGACAGUUGACAGUGGCUCCUGAGAACUGGCUGGGGCCAUUUUGGCCCCUUGCCUGUGGCCAUUUCCUGCAGACUUGGUCUGGGAGGGGAUGGGGCAGCUGAGCCAUGUGCACCACCCUCUUCCUACUCAGCACCUUGGCCAUGCUCUGGCGCCGCCGAUUUGCCAACCGGGUCCAACCGUGAGAAUCUGACUGGGCUAUGGAUGGGGUGGGGGAGGAACUACUGAGUUGGGCUCCAGCCAAGCUCAAGGUGGUAAGAGGCUGCCUGGACAUCCAGGGGGCUGGGAGGGCAUUUGCUGGGAACCUGAGAGGGUCACUGUCAAAAAGGAGGGAACUUAGAGCUUCUGAGGCACUAGCCUGCAGCCUCCACUCCCAUAGCUUCACAUGGCUAGGCCCCGUGGAGGAGCAGAAAGUGGCUGGCCACUAGCCACAGCUCUCCCUUCCCGUUCUUGCCUCCCACAGAGAGUCCAGCGCCAUGGAUGGGGCAGUUGCUGUUGCAGGCAGCAGCGUGGACACAGAUCUCCAGUCCUCAGGCAGCCCUGUUCCUGUGUGCCUGGUAGGUAGGCUGGAUGUCCAUUUUCUUCACUUGGGAGGGGAGCCCCCACACCCCUCCUUUGGACCAAAGCUGCUCUGCCUUGCCCCUCCAAGUGCGGGUGGUCCUCAGGGGCACCUUCUGUUGGAGAGUGCAAGGGAGUGGAGCAAGGUACACUGCUGGCCAGCUCUUCCCUCGCCCUUCCCUUCCCCCACCUUCUCCUCUGCCCCCGCCCAUCUCAGCGGCUCCACUGCCUGAACCUCCAGCAGGAUUCGCUGUCCAGUCCCCAAUAGCAGGCGCAGGAGCAGCAUGACAUCAUCGGGGCUGAGCGCUAUUGGCUGGGCAGACCCUGCGGGCAGGACGCUGUUUCCAGUGGCCAGGAAGUUAACUCUUACCUAGGCUGAAGCCAUGUGGCCUAUAGGGGACAAAAACAGAAAGGAUCCUCAUCAGUGGGCUCCAGAGCCCCCUGGCAGGAUGCUGUCUCCACACAGGUGUACUCAGAUGGGAAAAAGAACCUCUGAAGUAAGCCUUCAUCACUUUAGCAGGUGGGAUCAGCUGCUCAGGCAGGUCCUGGUUUGUGCCCUAGCCCAGGAGGAUGCUGUGGGAGUUGAAGCAGCAGCCCGAGGGAGAACAGGAAAAGCAGAAGUUGACAAGAGACUCUGUCACCUUAGCUAGAGUGUAGUAGCAUCAUCAUAGCUCACUGUGAGUUCCAAAUUCCUGGACUCAAAUGAUCCUCAUGCUUCAGCCUUAUCCUCCUGAGUAGCUGAGGCUAUGGAAGCCCACCACCAAAC